CGGGUACGUGUACCCGGCUGAUAGUAUCGUUAGAAUAAGCAUCGGCUAACUUCGUGCCAGCAGCCGCGGUAAGACGAAGGAUGCAAGCGUUAUCCGGAUUCAUUGGGUUUAAAAGGGAGCGUAGGCGGACUUAUAAGUCAGUGGUGAAAUCUUCGAGCUUAACUCGGAAACUGCCAUUGAUACUGUAGGUCUAGAGUACAGUUGCCGUUGGCGGAAUAUGACAUGUAGUGGUGAAAUACUUAGAUAUGUCAUAGAACACCGAUUGCGAAGGCAGCUAACGAAGCUGUAACUGACGCUGAGGCUCGAAAGUGCGGGGAUCAAACAGGAUUAGAUACCCUGGUAGUCCGCACUGUAAACGAUGAUUACUCGUUGCUGGGAAGCAAUUUCCAGUGACCAAGCGAAAGCGAUAAGUAAUCCACCUGGGGAGUACGCCGGCAACGGUGAAAACUCAAAGGAAUUGACGGGGGCCGCACAAGCGGAGGAGCAUGUGGUUAAUUCGAUGAUACGCGAGGAACCUUACCAGGG
rnacentral:rRNA from 1 species